CAGCUCGUGUCACCGUCGCUUGGGCUCGUGUCGUCAAGGCCUCCUUCCCUGUCCGCGACCUGGCUUCUCAACUGACCGUGCGGAUCGCGCGUCCGCCAACAAACUCCAGCUGGAGAUUGUGGACCGACGUCCCUGGGCCAUAAAAACUAUGCACAAGACCUUCUAUCCUCUCCCUUCGUCGUUCCUCAACCGUUAAUUUCUAGAGAGAGAUAGGGCAUCGUUGUGCCAGGGACUCGGCGGCGGCUCCGCCUGGGGCUCUCGGCUACCUGCUCUUGGCUACCUGCCCUGCCCUGGUGGUGCGAUCGAGCGAAGUCGCAGCGGCGCUGGGUACCAGUACGGUGCAUCCGCGGACGUUGAGGACCGACAGGAUCUCGUGAAUUCCUCAUCGGAGUUCUUCCCUCGUCGCGAGUCGACCCUCAUCGUGGACAGCUCGCUCGCGCGCCCGAUCCUCGGUAAUUUCACCUCCUCCGUGUUCGCCGUUGCCAUUACUUUGUGUAGCAGGGAUUAAUUGAGGAUCUGGUUCACGUUGUGCUCGGUCUGGUGACUCCGGCGAGUGCGCCGCCGGGUGGGGAUUCCCUUCGCCGUAGCUGUGCGGUGAGGAUGGAAGAAGAACGGCAUGAGUCGUUGAUUCUGUUUUUAGUGAUCGAGAUUAUGUUAUAGGGGCGGCUCGUUGGCCAUUGGAUCGGCUGUUAAUGGAUGCGAUCAAGUUUGGUCUGAACCGGUUCGGAAAUAGUUCUGACCAUUGAUCUCGAUACGGAGGGCUAAGAUCAGGUUAGGUCUUCAUUGAAUUUAGGCCGUUGAGAUCAAAACGGAUGGUCGGAUCGGUUGUUUGCGUAUUCUCUCCCACACAUUAAAUCAGAGCCGUUGAUCCUGUCGUGUGUGGCUGUGAUGGCAUAGGAGUAUUCUAGUUUGGCGAUCUAAUUGUGGCAGUCCAUUAUUGAUCGGACGGCCGAAAAGCAACGAUACCCCUUCGGCCUGGGCGUUUUGCGUAAGAGACCCCGAGAAAUAACUGAAUCAACCCGCAGUCCACUAGGAUUGUUCACUGAGUCUAGGAUAACUUACCAGGAGGCCCCUGUCUUCUCUAGAAAUUGAGGCGCAGUCCAGGGAGUUAAGAAAUCAGGAAAAUUAAUUUAGAAAUGGAUUUUUAAUAUGAAAAUAAUGGCUAGAAUUUGUUUAAUUCAUAGAAAUUUCAUAUUAAGUCCAAAUUAAUCCAUCCCAGUUUCUAUAAUUUUGUAAUAAUAUUGUUUAUCAAGUGAUGUCUCUGUUUUGACAUGAAAAACAUAUUAAAAAAGUGAUGUCUCUGUUUUGACAUGAAAAACAUAUUAAAAUUUAUCUCUUAAUUAAUCUCGUAUCAAAUACAUAAAACCUUCGGAAAUUCAUAACUCCUCCGUUUUAAUUCUGAAUUGACUCGUUCUAGUUGCGUUAGUUUCGUAUAAGUAUUUACUACACAGUAACAACAUUAAUUAUACCAUAUUGCAUAAUUUAAUAUUUAGAUAUUUAUUUAUCCUAUGUCUACUAGAUUAGCUCUUCUAAAUCAAGACUAACCUGACCAUAAUUAUAAUGUGGUUAAAACAUGAUCUCUAGUUAAGUUAUACUUAAGAUUAAAGUUGAAUUGUUUAUUUAAGAGUAUAUUUUCUCUUAUGAUGUAUACUAAUCAAUUUAUAAUAGUAAAACCACAUAGAUUCCCCAUAAAUCAUAACUUCGUAACCCUGACUCAGAUCUUAGUAGUUCUCGAUCCCACGAUCUCGUAGCUAUGCGUAGAUUAUUAUUAUUCAGUUUGUUCUUAUGUUUGGUGUGGUGUUAAUUUUGUUUAUACCAUGUAUGUUUGUAUUGCUACGACUAGCAGUGAGGUCAUGAGGAUUUGAAGAAUCAUCCUGGUACCUAGAAUCUCAAGUGCCAGGCAAGUUGUGCUCUUGACCACUUUUUACCCAAUAAUGUUCUUUAUUAUCACUAUUCAAUGCAUAGGUUUAAUUUUGAUGGGACCCAAUAGGUCACCCUAGUCUGAUUAUCUUUUACCUUGAUUACCCGUGAAUCAUUUGGCUAGUUUUGCUACUGCUUUACAUGAUUUUGGGUUAAUAUUUCAUUAUAUCCAUGUUCCAAUUAUUCUAUUAUGUUAUUAUGUUCAUGUCAAGAUCAUUAUCUUUAAUUGGAAUAUGGAGCUUAACUUGAGAAACACGUGCCACCACAAGGGUGGAAUGGGACGCCCUUGACUUACUAAUUAGGAAAGCUAGUGGAAGAGUACCUUACCCAAAAGGGGUAAGGGCAGUAGGGGAGUUGCAUGCAGGGAGGUUCUCGGGUUGAUUUUGCUGCGAUGGCGGUCAGACGAGAGAUUCUUGAAAGUGCUCUUCCCAUAAACUGUAGCGGGUUUUCGGAAGCUAGUGGAACUUUGUAAAGGCCUCGUAGUGUUACCCUGCCUCGCUUCCUUGGUAGAUGUGUAUGGGAUUCAUGACCCCUUGGCAGAUGGGUAACAUGACUUGUGAGUACAGGGUACAACCUCUGCAGAGUGUAAAACUGGUAUACUAGCCGAGCUCACGGUCAUGAGCAGCUCAGGACUCUCGCAUGAUUAAAUUAUGGAACUUAAAUUCAAUUUGUCAUUUGCAUUUGCAUGGGAUUAUUUAUUAAUUUUGUUCUAUUCUUAUUAUGGUUUGGUAUUUACUUACAUUUAGUAACUGCUAAUAAAAUUUGACCAACUUAUUAAAAGCAAUGCUCAACUUUAACCCCUAUUGUUGAUCAGCCUUACACAUCACAUGAACUCCCACCUUUGGUGAGUUCAUGCACAUUAUUUCCCACAACUUGUUGAGCGAUGAACAUGUGUGAGCUCACCCUUGCUGUCUCACACCCCCCAUAGGAGAAGAACAGGUGGUUCAAGAGGAGCCACACAACGAGGAGUUUGACUUGAUCUAGGUGGCGUCUCCUAGUUGACUUUCUGGCGCCAAGGAUGGACUUUAGUUCGUUAUAUAUUUAUCUUUUAUCCUGUAAGACUUCCGCUAUGUAAUAAAUACUCUGAUUAUAUUGUGACAUUUAUCUCUAUGCACUCUGUUGUCUCUUUUGGCGCAUGUAUGAGAUGCACCCGACUUUGUCCCUUAAAUCUGGGUGUGACAAUAGCAUGGGUUUAUUUUAGAUAAUACAUAAUCAUGAAUUUGUCCAGAUUCAAUGAACUUAUUCUAGCAAUAUUGUAAACUUUAUGAGAUUUGCGGACUACAUAGAUCCAGAGUUAGUAAAGAUAUAAACUGAUUAGUAGUUUUUUUAAAAAAAACUCUCACAACAUUAAUUUCUAAUUAGGUUUAAGUUAAUACCUUGCAUUUAUGCGAUUUAUAUUUAGGAUUCCUAAUCAUGUAGUUUUAGCAUAAAGAUGAAGCCCUGGCAUCAUGUAUGAACACAAUGAGCUACC
rnacentral:lncRNA from 1 species